GAUGUAAACAUCAACCUUUUUGAAUUUAUUUACUAAACAUUUUCGUCAACUUAUACAACUGUUUCAAUAUUUUUUUGAAACUGUAAGCAACAAGCUUAUCGUAUCAUGAGUUUUUCACCAAGAGUUAAGUUGUUGUUUUUAACACUUGAAACAUGAAGUUAUCCACUUAACUGUCAUCCGGAAAUUCGUCAGGUUUGUUGGCAACUUUGAUAAUAAUUCUGUCGAUGCGCUGGUUUCACGACGUUAGGGAAUUAUUGCGAAGCGUGAUUGUACUUUCUGUGUCUGUGUUUGUGUGUUUAGAUCCGUGAUAUAGAAACCUUAUUAUACUCUUGUCUAGUUUCAUGAGUCGCUUUAAAAAAAUGUUUUAAUUGUUGUUCGAAGUGACAAUAAUUUUAUUAAUUUUCACAAUGGAAAAGAUUGUCUUGGAGUGAAGUAAUUCGGUAUAUUUCCCUGGUUUGUCUAUGGCUGUAAAAUGUCAACGAAAUAAGGGGGCGUACUAUUAAAAGUAUUUUCGGAGCCUGCAGCUAUGCCAGUGACAAAGACAAAAUCACGCCGCGUUGUAAAUUGACUUUAGAUCGUAUGCAAUUGUUUAAGUUUUGGUCAACACGUGAGUCUGAAGUCACGUCCCAGUCAUUCUACACCAGCAACAGAUCUGGGCUGUAAGUCUUAGGAUGUCAAUCUACACAUAUUUAUGCAGGAAACAACACCAGCAACAGAUCUGGGCUUUUUCGAGGUCUCAAAUGACCCAUGGCAAAUCAUCGUUCUUCCCCACGAGGGUCGUGACGCACAGGCUGAGAACCGCUGAUCUAUGAGUUUAGGCUUUAAACUGACCUGAACACACUACUUGUUAGACUAACAUGGACUGAAUGUUGUCAUCAGGCCAUCUUAUUAUUUGUAAGCAUUUUUUGUACUGGUUUUUGUCUACGUCAAGUAUACACCUGCACUAGAAUGUUUCAUUGUUAAAUUAUUUGAUUUGCUGUAAUAAUAAGAACUACAGUAUAUUUGUGUUAUGACUUGAAACCUUCUUUUAUACAUAUGAUCUGUUAUGAUUUUGUUUUAAAAAUAAUAUGAAAUGUCAAACUAAUUCUGAAUGAGAUCAUUUGCGAUAACAAUAAAUUUAUUGAUUGCAUUAUUAGCUCUACAUUACAAAAUAAUUAUGUAUUCCGAAACAAGACUUUAGUCUAAUAAUGUUUAAUCCAAACAUAACUAUACUUGUUGUUGAGAAUAAAAAUUCAUGGCCCAUAAUUUACCUCCAACAUUUAUUAACAGCUAUCGCUUGUUUGCACUAAGAAUUAGAUUUACUUCAUUGUUUCAAGUGGAAUUUUUAUGUAUUGCAAUCUGAAUACUAGAUGUCUGUUUAUAGUUUCAGUUUUACUUUCCAUGGAUUAAAAAUGAAAUAAAUCUUUCUCUUACAUUCUCUCUUUCUUUCUGUCACUCUUUCACUCUAUCUUACAUUCUCCCUGUAUCUUUCUCUGAAAUUUCAUUUGACAAAAAUAACAAGCCAAGUGUCUAUACUGUUUUCUUAUUUUCUGUAAUGUUUAGGAUAAUUCGUACAAAAGACAACAACACUAGAGCAGUAUACAGAAGCCUAAUUCAUAAACUGCUGGUAGUGUGUAUACGUAUGUUACCUAUGAGAAUGUUGUUCACGUUGGCAUCUAUAGUGUUGUGGUUAUGCUCAGGUGGACAAUUGUCAAACUAAACUUCCAUUUUUGGUCUAAUAAAAUUAUCUUAUUUUAUCUUAUCUUGAUUACCUCUAAAAUGUGGGAUUCAUAACAAAGAAAGCCCUACAGUGGGUAUUUUUCUGACUAACAGAUUUUAUUUAUAGAAGCACGCCUGUGUUAAUGUUAACUUGCGUUAAUAAAAAUGAGGCCUGUGUUAAUGUUUACUUGCGUUUAUACAAAAUCUGCAAACAUUUGCAAUAAUAUGUUGGCUAAUGUGUCAUCCAAACUAUAGCGCUGCUUGGACAGUCUUUAAAAAAAGUGCGUUGAAAACCAGGCAUACAACUUGUGACACAACCCUGACUAUGUUGAUUUUGUCAACUAAUAUAUCUCAGCAAAGCUGGAAAAACGUUAGAAGUCAGUCGCGAUGUUUCACGGUGACUGGCUUUAUCUAUCAACUUUCACGAACUUGAGUUUUACCUUCACAUA